GACGAACGCUGGCGGCGUGCCUAAUACAUGCAAGUAGAACGCAGUUGCGAACGGGUGAGUAACGCGUAGGUAACUGCCUCAUAGCGGGGGAUAACUAUUGGAAACGAUAGCUAAUACCGCAUACUGGGAGAUGGACCUGCGUUGUAUUAGUUAGUUGGUGAGGUAAAGGUGCACCAAGGCGACGAUACAUAGCCGACCUGAGAGGGUGAUCGGGCACACGGGGACUGAUACACGGCCCAGGACCCUACGGGGGGCAGCAGGAGGGAAUCUGUGGCAAUGGGAGGAAGGCUGAACGCGCAACGCCGCGGGAGUGAAGAAGGGUUUCGGAUCGUAAAGCUCUGUUGUUAGAGAAGCGGUACCUAACCAGAAAGGGACGGCUAACUACGUGCCAGCAGCCGCGGUAAUUC
rnacentral:rRNA from 1 species